rnacentral:lncRNA from 1 species
AUGUGGCCCCGGCCUGGCCUCCUCUGGGGCUGGAAACCUCCCGGUCUCCUCGGAAGGCCAGAAGUGAGGCGGGCAGGUGCGUCCUCACCUCCUCCCCCGCACACCUGGCAACAAAGAGCACCACGCGGCCAGCUCGGCCACGGUCCUGCAGCCCGGCCCCCCUCAGGGUCCGCCCAGGUUCCAGGUUUGCCUGGCUGGGGGCUGGGGCAGAGCAGCGGGCGACAGAGAGGACAUCUGGGAAGGAGCCCCUCUGGGACCCUGGUCUGGCCGGGCCGGGACAGGAAACACCGUGGGGCGACGCCGGGAUCUGAGGGGGCAGGGGAGGGGCCGGGACGGAGGGGAAGCUGGCGGUCAGCGUCCCGGGUGGCGUGGGUGUUCCCGCCUGUGGCCCCAUUGCAGGGUCUGUCCUCAGGAGGACACUUGUCACGGACGGCCUCGGUGGCACCUGCCGAGCUCCCUUUGCAGGGAGGGUCACAGUCAUGGGGUCCCCGUAGACGGAGCUGUGGAGGCGCCAUUCAACCCACUGCAGGGCAGCCCCAAGGUCUCGGGCAGAGCUGGGCAGAGGCGGGACGGAGGGUACCACCCAGACGUGGGCGGCUCGCGGAGGAAGCCUGGUCUCGAUCCCUGUGGCUCCUGGGUCGGGAAGCGUUUGCCUGUGGAGGUGGGGAGGUCCCCGGCCUGGGCCCCCUGUGCAGCUGUCCCUGGGGCCUGGGUGCUGUGAGGAGCUGUGUGGGGGGGGAAGGGUGCAGGGCCAGCCUCCGGUCCCCACGUGGCUGGCAGGUGGCACAGGGACCCAGCCUUCGGUCUGAGUUUCCACCCCAAAUCUCUGACCUCUGGACCUUGGGUUUUAUUCACAGAGGGUCGUCCGCCUGUCCCCCACCCUGUUCUCUCCCAGGCACCCCUCCUGAGAGGCCUUCCAGGGGCGGGAGCCUGCAGGGCCACGCUGGCAGGGCAGUGGGGUCUGUGAGGUGGGGGUGGGUGGGGCUGCGAGGGCCCAGCGCUCUGCAGGGUCCCCAGGGCCACUGA